GGGAAUUCGAUUAUGAAGGCCUUCGGGUCGUAAAGCCCUGUUGAUAGGGACGAAGGGCGAAGGGUUAAUAGCCCCUAGCUUGACGGUACCUUUCGAGGAAGCCCCGGCUAACUACGUGCCAGCAGCCGCGGUAAUACGUAGGGGGCGAGCGUUGUCCGGAAUUAUUGGGCGUAAAGAGCGUGUAGGCGGUUCGGUACGUCUGUCGUGAAAUCCUGGGGCUCAACCCCGGGCGUGCGAUGGAUACUGCCGGGCUAGAGGGUGGUAGAGGCGAGUGGAAUUCCCGGUGUAGCGGUGAAAUGCGCAGAUAUCGGGAGGAACACCAGUAGCGAAGGCGGCUCGCUGGGCCACACCUGACGCUGAGACGCGAAAGCUAGGGGAGCGAACAGGAUUAGAUACCCUGGUAGUCCUAGCCGUAAACGAUGGACACUAGGUGUGGGCGGAGUCGAAUCUGUCUGUGCCGAAGCCAACGCGUUAAGUGUCCCGCCUGGGGAGUACGGCCGCAAGGCUAAAACUCAAAGGAAUUGACGGAA
rnacentral:rRNA from 1 species